rnacentral:rRNA from 1 species
GACGAACGCUGGCGGCGUGCUUAACACAUGCAAGUCGAACGGAAAGGCCCUGCUUUUGUGGGGUGCUCGAGUGGCGAACGGGUGAGUAACACGUGAGUAACCUGCCCUUGACUUUGUGAUAACUUCAGGAAACUGGGGCUAAUACCGGAUAGGAGCUCCUGCUGCAUGGUGGGGGUUGGAAAGUUUCGGCGUUUGGGGAUGGACUCGCGGCUUAUCAGCUUGUUGGUGGGGUAGUGGUUUACCAAGGAUUUGACGGGUAGCCGGCCUGAAAGGGUGACCGGCCCCAGUGGGAUUGGGAAGGGGCCAGGAGGCAAUCGGGCGGAAGCGGGGGGAAAUUUACGAAAAGGGGCGGAGGCCGGAUGCAGCAUCGCCGGGUCGGGAAUGUCGGCUUUGGGGUGGUAACCAGUGUGCACCUGUGAAGAGGCGUGGGGACGGUAAAUGGGUAAAAAGCCACGGCUAACUACGUG